rnacentral:rRNA from 1 species
AACGCGAAGAACCUUACCCACCCUUGACAUGUACGGAAGUUACCAGAGAUGGUUUCGUGCUCGAAAGAGAACCGUAACACAGGUGCUGCAUGGCUGUCGUCAGCUCGUGUCGUGAGAUGUUGGGUUAAGUCCCGCAACGAGCGCAACCCUUGCCAUUAGUUGCUACAUUCAGUUGGGCACUCUAAUGGGACUGCCGGUGACAAACCGGAGGAAGGUGGGGAUGACGUCAAGUCCCCAUGGCCCUUAUAGGUGGGGCUACACACGUCAUACAAUGGCUGGUACAGAGGGUUGCCAACCCGCGAGACGGAGCUAAUCCCAUAAAACCAGUCGUAGUCCGGAUCGCAGUCUGCAACUCGACUGCGUGAAGUCGGAAUUGCUAGUAAUCGCGGAUCAGAAUGUCGCGGUGAAUACGUUCCCGGGUCUUGUACACACCG